rfam:Triticum urartu cultivar G1812 contig1236698, whole genome shotgun sequence.
AAAGUACUCCCUCUGUCCCAAAUUUUUUGUCUUAGAUUUGUCUAAAUACAGAUGUAUCAAGUCAUGCUUUAGUAUUAGAUACAUCCGUAUCUAGAUUAAUGUAAGACAACAAUUUUGGAACGGAGGGCUACAUU